rnacentral:misc_RNA from 1 species
AAGUCGUAACAAGGUUUCCGUAGGUGAACCUGCGGAAGGAUCAUUAUAAAAUUUUCAUAUAUUAUUUAUUUAAUAUAUAUAUAAAAUUAUAUUCAAAACCCACACUCUUAUAACCAAAAAAAAAAAAUAUUAUAUUUAUAAUAUAUAAAUAAAACAACUUUCAACAACGGAUCUCUUGGCUCUC